UGAAAAAAAGGGGCGGAUCCUUAAGAGGUGAAAAUAUUUGUUAUAUGUUUUCAAUGCUGGAUAAACAGAAAACAAGUUGAUUUUAAAAUUAGAGAAAUAACAAACAAAAAUGUUAUUUGUCUCAAUUCCAGCCUUACCUGAAGCUCAUCUACAACCCCUCAGCUACAGUGUGUAUACAUUUAUGAUUUAACAUGAUCAAAAUAUCACAAUGUUCACAGAAAACAUUUUGUGAGCGUUUUUAUAAUUACAUUUACAAAUGUUUAAAUGUUUAUCUGUUCUUUACCCUGCAGACAAAAAUCUCAUUUGAAUAUGGGAUAACAGCACUUCUCCCAUCAUUCAUGAAGGCUGAGGAGACAGAGACUCGGGAGGAGGAAGGAAAAUAAUAUGGCGGAUACAAGGUGUAUGGAAGGGAGAAGAAGCCCAAGGCUUGCAUCUGGAUUGGAAUCGUUGAUUGGAUUGAGAUGACACAUUUACAUAUCUUUCUGGAGUACAUUAAACUUUAAAGAUGAACUAUGGAUUUUUAGUUGCUAACAUUUUUCCUAAAUACCAAUCAAUUUCUUAACUCAUGAAACCACACAAGCCUUAGUUUUAUCCUAACUAACAAUAUAUGAUUUUACUCAUGGGUAUGGGUAUGCAGUGAGGUCAUUUCAGGAUGAUAUUUCUGUCUAUUCAGGGGACCCCUUUUGGCUCAAGAGCACACCAGUGGCAAGUUAUGUGUAACCUCUCUAGAUCCUCUUUAUAUCUAUACAGUACAUGGCAGGUGUUGAUGGAGGUUACUUCUGUGA